rnacentral:sRNA from 1 species
AACUCCACGCCCUGCCAGGACUGCUUUAAAGCUUUCUCUAACAGUGUUGCCCAGAAUGAUCAAGGAGGAAAAACCUUCUCCAAAUAUCGUAACCCCGGGGGAGGCGACCACGGAGUCGUCCAUAACCCUCCAGCCUCUGAAGCCCGAGAAAAUGCUGGCAAGCCGCCUUCUGGGGCUGCUGAUCUGCGGCUCCCUAGCACUGAUAACCGGCCUUACCUUUGCGUGAGCAACCCAUUGAAGAAGGCAGGCUUGGCUUGGAGAUAUUUCGUCGAAGGAAGGUGAUCGAUUUCAUCAAAUCCUCACUGUUUGGCCUUGGCAGUGGAGCGGCCGAGCAAACCCAGGUCCCAAAAGAAAAGGCCACAGAUUCGAGGCAACAAUAAAGAUUUAUCUUGUUGUCUAAGCAUCUGACUUACUCCCCGGGACGGGACUGAUUCUA